rnacentral:lncRNA from 1 species
CUCAAUCCGCGUUGUUCAUUAGAUCCAAUUUUAUUGUUUAAUUUUGUUGAAUUUCUUACAGCAUUAUUGAUCCAGUCUCAUGAGGCAGCCAGCUUUUGCUUGCUUUGUGUUUUGACUAUAUGAACUUAUCUACCCAUCUAUAAAUACUUAAACUUUCCUCUAUCAAAUACUCCUGGCAUAUUCAGUAGUAGAUAAAGAGUUAGGUAGCCAGGUAGGAAGUUCAUUCAAGAGUUCGUGUUCAUUUCUUUUAGAACUAAUGGCUUUGAGUUCAUGUUUGCUUCUGGUUCUGUUGAUCUAUGGAACAAUAGCACAGAGUAGUUAUGUGGGGAAGGGAUAUGCUACUGCAUCAUCGUCAAAGGAGAUCACUGAUGAUAUAUAUUACGAUGAAAUGCGUGGAAAGCGAAGCUCAAGAUUUACAAGUCCUUCUCCACCUAUUUUGAACAAGCGUCAGUAUUGGAAGAAAGCACCACCUCCACCUUUUCACCCUAUUCAAGCAUCACCACCACCUCCACCUAUUUUUAACAAGGGCCGGAAUUGGCAGAUAGCACCUCCACCUUUUCGACCUAUUCAAGCACCACAACCACCUCCUCCUCGCUACUAAACUUGAAAGCAGUUCUUGUAUUUCAAUUGGUACGAGUAGCAUGUGUUACAUGAACAAGAUCUAGUUGUUUCCACUGGCCCAUUUUUUUACUGUAAUUUGUUUUCUUGAGAUGUAUUCCACUCUACUUGACUACUUGUGCUAAAUAAUGAUUUAAAUGCAGAAAACGGGAAAAGUUACAAGGUAGUU